UAUUCAUUUUUAGCUCACCUGGCCCAAAGGGCCAAGUGAGCUUUUCCCAUCACUUGGCGUCCGGCGUCCGGCGUCGUCGUCGUCCGUCGUCUGUCAUCCGUCGUCGUUAACUUUUACAAAAAUCUUCUCCUCUGAAACUACUGGGCCAAAUUAAACCAAACUUGGCCACAAUCAUCAUUGGGGUAUCUAGUUUAAAAAAUGUGUGGCGUGACCCGGCCAACCAACCAAGAUGGCCGCCAUGGCUAAAAAUAGAACAUAGGGGUAAAAUGCAGUUUUUGGCUUAUAACUCAAAAACCAAAGCAUUUAGAGCAAAUCUGACAUGGGGUAAAAUUGUUUAUCAGGUCAAGAUCUAUCUGCCCUCAAAUUUUCAGAUGAAUCCGACAACCCGUUGUUGGGUUGCUGCCCCUGAA
rnacentral:lncRNA from 1 species